AGAGUUUGAUCCUGGCUCAGGAUGAACGCUAGCUACAGGCUUAACACAUGCAAGUCGAGGGGCAGCAUGUCGGUUGCUUGCAACCGACGAUGGCGACCGGCGCACGGGUGAGUAACGCGUAUCCAACCUACCCUUGUCCAUCGGAUAACCCGUCGAAAGGCGGCCUAACACGAUAUGCGGUUCACAGCAGGCAUCUAAGGUGAACGAAAUGUAAAGGAGAAGGAUGGGGAUGCGUCUGAUUAGCUUGUUGGCGGGGUAACGGCCCACCAAGGCUACGAUCAGUAGGGGUUCUGAGAGGAAGGUCCCCCACAUUGGAACUGAGACACGGUCCAAACUCCUACGGGAGGCAGCAGUGAGGAAUAUUGGUCAAUGGACGGGAGUCUGAACCAGCCAAGUAGCGUGCAGGAUGACGGCCCUAUGGGUUGUAAACUGCUUUUAUAGGGGGAUAAAGUGUGCCACGUGUGGCAUAUUGCAGGUACCCUAUGAAUAAGGACCGGCUAAUUCCGUGCCAGCAGCCGCGGUAAUACGGAAGGUCCGGGCGUUAUCCGGAUUUAUUGGGUUUAAAGGGAGCGUAGGCCGUCUUAUAAGCGUGUUGUGAAAUGUCGGGGCUCAACCUGGGCAUUGCAGCGCGAACUGUGAGACUUGAGUGCGCAGGAAGUAGGCGGAAUUCGUCGUGUAGCGGUGAAAUGCUUAGAUAUGACGAAGAACUCCGAUUGCGAAGGCAGCCUGCUGUAGCGCAACUGACGCUGAAGCUCGAAAGCGUGGGUAUCGAACAGGAUUAGAUACCCUGGUAGUCCACGCGGUAAACGAUGGAUGCUCGCUGUUUGCGUCUGACGUAAGCGGCCAAGCGAAAGCGUUAAGCAUCCCACCUGGGGAGUACGCCGGCAACGGUGAAACUCAAAGGAAUUGACGGGGGCCCGCACAAGCGGAGGAGUAUGUGGUUUAAUUCGACGCAACGCGAAGAACCUUACCAGGUCUUGACAUUGAUCGCCAUUCACAGAAAUGUGAAGUUCUCCUUCGGGAGACGAGAAAACAGGUGGUGCACGGCUGUCGUCAGCUCGUGUCGUGAGAUGUUGGGUUAAGUCCCGCAACGAGCGCAACCCCUAUCUUAUGUUACCAGCACGUUAUGGUGGGGACUCAUGAGAGACCGCCGCGGACAACGCGGAGGAAGGUGGGGAUGACGUCAAGUCAUCAUGCCCCUUAUGACCUGGGCUACACACGUACUACAAUGGGUGUCAACAAAGAGAAGCGAAACCGCGAGGUGGAGCGAACCUCAAAAACACACCCCCAGUUCAGAUUGCAGGCUGCAACCCGCCUGCAUGAAGUAGGAAUCGCUAGUAAUCGCGGGUCAGCAUACCGCGGUGAAUACGUUCCCGGGCCUUGUACACACCGCCCGUCACACUAUGAGAGUCGGAAACACCCGAAGCCGGUGAGGUAACCGCAAGGAGCCAGCCGUCGAAGGUGGAGCUGAUGAUUGGAGUGAAGUCGUAACAAGGUAA
rnacentral:rRNA from 1 species